rnacentral:lncRNA from 1 species
AUCAUGGGAAUCCAAUCAAUUGUUCAGUACUUACUCAAUUGCAAUGAAUUGAGAAGAUAGCCAAACCCAUUUUCGAAAUAUAUGGUUUUAGAAAAUACCUUUCAUAUUAUCAACAGCAUUUAUUUGAUUAAUUUUUUUUCUUCUGUUCAACUUCCAAUCUUCGCCGUUUCAAUGUGUGAUUUCCCCUUAAGUUUCCCCUUCAAGGAACUACGCAGAUAAUCUCCGUACUUGACCUUCUUGUACUUCUGGGACCCAGAUAACUCCACUAUAUGACCAAAAGGUUCAACUUCCACCUCUGCGUGUGGCAAAAUGAAUGAUGCAUAAGAUAUCCUCGAUUUGCU